GUGCCAGCAGCCGCGGUAAUACAGAGGUCCCGAGCGUUGUUCGGAUUCACUGGGCGUAAAGGGUGCGUAGGUGGUGGGGUAAGUCGGAUGUGAAAUCUCGGAGCUCAACUCCGAAAUGGCAUUGGAAACUGCCCUGCUGGAGGGUCGGAGGGGGGACUGGAAUUCUCGGUGUAGCAGUGAAAUGCGUAGAUAUCGAGAGGAACACCAGUGGCGAAGGCGAGUCCCUGGACGACACCUGACACUGAGGCACGAAAGCUAGGGGAGCAAACAGGAUUAGAAACCCUAGUAGUCC
rnacentral:rRNA from 1 species